rnacentral:sRNA from 1 species
GUUUAUUAAUCAAAAAAAAUUAACAGUACAUGUGUUAUGAUCAAUUAAAUAAAUCUAGCAUGUAUUAAUUUAAAAAAAAAAUUAUUAGUAACUCUUAAAAAUAAAAAGACAUUGAGAAGAUACCCUGGAUAUGUCCUGGAAUAUCACUGGCUUUGAGGAUUGUACCUCUCAUGCUUGCUUCACUUAUAUAUUCAUUUGAGGAUUGUACACCCUCGAGGUCGUUCUUGAGGAUUUGAACAUGACUUUGGGAUUUACCUUGCACAAGACCGAACCAAUUUAUUCUGACACCCUCGAGAAAGCGUACAAUUAUUUUUAUUAGUCUUUCAUAAUUUCAUCUCCCUGGUAUUAAUAUAUAGACAACUAACUCUAGCCUAUGUGUCGAUGUCGUGCUUAUAAAGAAACUUACUUUUUAAUUAUACCUUGAUGCUUCCAAAGUGAGUCUUUUUAUCGUUGGUUGGAAUGUAUUGUUAUCGUUACAAAGUUAUUUGAUUGUUGGUCUCAAGGGUAAGAAAAGGAAAAGUUUUUUUUUCGUUAUUAUAAAUGAAGUAGUUUAUCAAGUUGUGUUGGGUUUCAAAUUUGUCUCUAAAAUCUAUGAAUUUUUCCUACAGCCUAUGUAAUAUUGGCUUAUAUAAUAAAAUUACCGAGGACCAAUAACAUCAAUACACACAUUCGGAAACACAUCGAAUCAAUAAGAAUACAAUGUUAGCGCUUAGUGCUACUGGAGUCUAUACUCGUCACAUCCCAGAUGGUUCGUUCUAUAUCUUUCUAUUGGAUUUACUCAAGUACUUAUCUUUUCUCAAUUAACCGGUUACGGUAAGAUUUUGAUCAUACCUAUAUUUAAGAAAAAACAAAUAAUAGUUAAUUCAUAUUUUACUAAACUUAUAUAUAUAUAUAUAUUGAUAAGUUUAUGCAAUUAUUAGUAUAUGAUAAUGAUGUGACCAGAUAGUUACAUACGAUUUUCAAACAAAUUAUUAUUUUAUCGAAUUAUGUUAAAUAUUAUAUUGCCUCGCUAAAGACCAAAAACUUUUAUAAAUUAUAGUGAUUAUUAAUUUCUCGAGUAUUAGUUUAUAAA